AGUUAGCGGCGGACGGGUGAGUAACACGUGGGCAACCUGCCCUGUAGAUCGGGAUAACAUCGAGAAAUCGGUGCUAAUACCGGAUAAUUUCUAGAAUCUCAUGGUUCUAGAAUAAAAGAUGGCUCCGGCUAUCACUACGGGAUGGGCCCGCGGCGCAUUAGCUAGUUGGUAAGGUAACGGCUUACCAAGGCGACGAUGCGUAGCCGACCUGAGAGGGUGAUCGGCCACACUGGGACUGAGACACGGCCCAGACUCCUACGGGAGGCAGCAGUAGGGAAUCUUCCGCAAUGGACGAAAGUCUGACGGAGCAACGCCGCGUGAGUGAUGAAGGAUUUCGGUUCGUAAAGCUCUGUUGUUAGGGAAGAACAAGUGCCGUUCAAAUAGGGCGGCACCUUGACGGUACCUAACCAGAAAGCCACGGCUAACUACGUGCCAGCAGCCGCGGUAAUACGUAGGUGGCAAGCGUUGUCCGGAAUUAUUGGGCGUAAAGCGCGCGCAGGCGGUCUUUUAAGUCUGAUGUGAAAGCCCACGGCUCAACCGUGGAGGGUCAUUGGAAACUGGGAGACUUGAGUACAGAAGAGGAGAGUGGAAUUCCACGUGUAGCGGUGAAAUGCGUAGAUAUGUGGAGGAACACCAGUGGCGAAGGCGACUCUCUGGUCUGUAACUGACGCUGAGGCGCGAAAGCGUGGGGAGCAAACAGGAUUAGAUACCCUGGUAGUCCACGCCGUAAACGAUGAGUGCUAGGUGUUAGGGGUUUCGAUGCCCUUAGUGCCGAAGUUAACACAUUAAGCACUCCGCCUGGGGGAGUACGACCGCCAAGGUUGAAACUCAAAAGGAAUUGACGGGGGGCCCGCACCAAGCAGUGGGA
rnacentral:rRNA from 1 species